UUUGACCAUCUUGUGCAUUUAUGAAGAAGACCAAAAGCUGCAAAGGCAAACACUUCCAAUGGCAGAAACUGAGAGUUUGCAUGAUGGCAUUUUCUCAGACGCUGAAUCUGAUGUGUACAGAUGAACUCAGGAGCCUACUAGAGUUGCCAAGGAACUUGUGCUUGAACUGAAGACCAGAAACGCAAAGAAAAUCAGUCAAACCAGUCCUAAAGAAAUGAGGAAUGAA